CGUGCCCAGUCGUGGGGGAUAACGCAGUGAAAGCUGUGCUAAUACCGCAUACGAUCUCUGGAUGAAAGCGGGGGACUCGGCAACGAGCCUCGCGCGAUUGGAGCGGCCGAUAUCAGAUUAGCUAGUUGGUGGGGUAAAAGCCCACCAAGGCGACGAUCUGUAGCUGGUCUGAGAGGACGACCAGCCACACUGGAACUGAGACACGGUCCAG
rnacentral:rRNA from 1 species